rnacentral:rRNA from 1 species
UACGUAGGGUGCAAGCGUUAAUCGGAAUUACUGGGCGUAAAGCGUGCGCAGGCGGUUUUCCAAGACAGAUGUGAAAUCCCCGGGCUCAACCUGGGAAUGGCAUUUGUGACUGGAAGGCUAGAGUGUGUCAGAGGGGGGGUAGAAUUCCGACGUGUAGCAGUGAAAUGCGUAGAGAUGUGGAGGAAUACCGAUGGCGAAGGCAGCCCCCUGGGAUAACACUGACGCUCAUGCACGAAAGCGUGGGGAGCAAACAGG